rnacentral:tRNA from 1 species
UUCCUGAUGAUCCAGUGGUUAAGACAUUGCACUUCUACUGCAGUGGGCACAGGUUUGAGCCCUGGUCAGAUAA